CUGGUAGAAUCCCCUCAUUGCUUCCCUGUGGGAAGAAUGAGGGUUAUUAUGGUGGCAAAGGUCAAUUGGAAGGCUCUAGAACUGCUUCUGCCUAGGAAAAUAGUCAACCAAAUGCAAUACUGCAUUCCUAGAGAGACUGUAGAGAUUAGUGCCACCACCGAGAACUAAAAGAAUGCAGGGUUAGUGAUACCUAGCGCAUCCCCAUUUAACUUGCCUAACUGUCCAGUACAGAAAAGACAACUUGGAGACUGACAGUGGAUUAGCCCCAAGGUGAACCAGGUGAGGACUCCAAUUAUAGAUGGUGUGUUGGUAGUGGUUUCGUUUCUUGGGCAGAUUAUCAUCCACUGGUGUGUAGUGACUGAUGAGGAAAAUGCUCUUUUAUCCCCACCCAUUGGUAAUGACCACCAGGAGCAGCUUGUUUUCAGAUGGCAAAGCUGGUCUGUCAGUGCUCCAGCACUGUAUCCUGAUUUAAAUCCAAGGGAUCUUGGUCACCUUUCUUCCCACAAGACAUUACAUGGGUCGCUUCCAUCAGUGACAUUAUUCAGAUUGGACAUGUGGACCAGAAGCAGCAACUGCUAUCGACUUACUGGAAAGGUAUCUGCAUGUCACACACUAUGUUUUGAUUUGGACCUGGAGCAUCCCACAAAGGCUCAUGUGUUGAAGACUUUUUCCUCAGCACAGAGGAAAAAGAGGUGGGGUAUUUAGGAAAUUAUUGGAUCACGAGGACUCUAAACUCCUCAUAAGAUGAAUGCCUUGGGCUGGGGAUAUAGCUCAGCUGGUAGAGUGCUUGCAUCACAUGCACAAAGCCCUGAGACUAAUCCCAAGCACCACAAAAGAAAAAAAAAGAAUAAUGCCUUGAGGGUUUCAGAGCCCCAUGCCAUUAUUGGAGGUGGUAUAAACUGUAGGAGGUGUGACCAAGUUGGAGGAGGAAGGUCUCUGAGGGCAUGUACUCAAAGGACAUGUCUUGUCUGUGGCCUCUUCCUCUUUGCCUCUCUCCCUCUAUUUCCUGGUCACCAUCAGAUGCACAGUAUUCCUCUGCCACAAGCUUUUGUCAUCGUUUUCUGCCUCAUCUCAGGCCCAGAGCAACAGAGUCAGCCGAUCAUGGAUUAAGACCUCUGAAGCUAUGAACCCAACUACUGAAUUUAAUCAACUCUGCUAAUUUUAAGAGGAGGCUCUGUAACAGGUCCAGGCUGCCAAGUUACCUGUUCUACCUCUUGGGCCAUAUCAUCCAGCAGAUCCAAUGGCACUUGAAUUACCAGCGUCACAGAGAUUAUCUGUUUGGAUACUUUAGCAAGAUUGUACAGACAGCUUUUGGCUUGCUACUGGGCAUUACAAGGGACUGGAUAUUUAAAUAUGGGUCAGCCAGUUACUCUGCAUAUGGAGCCUCAUGAAGUGCUGGGUAUUGUCUGAACUGUCAAGCCAUAAUACUGGUCAUGCACCACAGCACACCAUCCAAUGGAAGUGGUAUGUAUGUGACUGAGCUCAAGCAAGCCGAGAAAGCACAAGUAUGUUACAUGAAAUGCCCCAAGUGUCCGUGGUCCCCACUUCAGCUAUACAACUCUCUCUCCCCCAGACUGCACAUGUGGGAUCAUGAGAAGCUUUUUAUGAUCAAUUUGACAAAGGGAGACUCAGGUCUGGUUUGCAGAAGGUACUGUGAAUUAUGCAAUUAGCACUUGAAACUGGACAGCUGCAGCACCAGACCCCUUGUGGGACAUCCCUGUAGGACAGUGGUGAAGGGAAAUCCUCCUGGUGGGCAGAACUCUGGGAAGAACCCCUCAUUGUUCACUAUUCGUGGAAACCAUAUAGGCAAACAUAGGCUGUGGCCAAUGGUUUGGCAUGAUGGUCAGAAUUAUGGAAGGAAUGUGAUUGGGACAUUGUUGAUAAGGAAAUCUGGGGAACAGAUGUGUGGAUGGAACUCUCCAAAUAAGCAAAAGACAUGAAGAGGACGUGGAAGUUUGUCCCUGAGGUAAAGCAUGUGUCUUGCAUGCCCUUCAGAGGCAUAUGCCCUUCACAUGCCCUUCUGUCCCACGCACCGAAAACCUGAAACACAAAAAAAAAACAUAAAGAUAUGUGUGUCUCAGGUCAAUACCCACCAAAUGGAUACCCCAACAGAGGAGGAUUUUAACAAUCAAGUGGAAAGGAUGACCCCUACAGGUGCUCUCUUUCUCCAGCCACACUUCUCAUUGCACAGUGGGCUUAUGAAAAACGUGGACAUGCUGGAGGGGAUAGAGGUGAUCCUUGGACUCCACUCCCAAAGGCUGACUGGCCAUAAGCAAUGCAGAGUGCUCAUUUUCCAACAGUAGAGACCAACACUGUGUCUGCACUGGAAGGAGUUAUAAUUCAGUUUGCCAUGAUUUAUCACUUUGCCAUAAUUUAUCAGAGCAAUCAUGCAGUCACCUGGUGGCAUGUUGAUUACCUUGAACCUUUUCCAUCUUGCAAGGGACAGUGUUUGGUUCACACUGGAAAAGACAUGUACUCCGGGGGGGGUUCAGAUCUGCCUUCUCUGCACAUGGUACUUCUAAACAAACUACAUCUAUGGAAUUAUAGAAUAUCUAUUCUACCAUCAUGAUGUUGCUUCUGAUCCGGGAAGACAGUUCACAGCAAAUGAAAUGCCAUGAGGGACCCACUCACUGGUUUUCCAAACUCCCCACAUUCCUAAAGCAGCUGAUAGGGGGCAAACAGAGGUAGGAACAUGAUGUUAAAUGAAUAAUUCCUUAAAAUGGGCCUUCUUGCCAACUACCACUUGAUUUCUUUUCCAAGAAUCAAGUAACCUGCAGGCCUGCCUGGCUUAAGUGGACAAGACAUGUCAUGUUCCACAGCAAACUACUUCUUAUCUGCAGACCCACAGGAAUGUUAACAGGAUCUCACCUAAAGGGCAAGGUCUUUGUGACUGUUUCCACAGACAAGAUCCCAGAACUUAGGGACAUAAGACUAAUUCCUCCUAACCAUAAAAUGUGUAAAAAUGUUUGGUUAAGAAUACCAUUAGAACUGGUCAGCAUGGGCCAAAGUGACCUAGAGUUGUCAUGGCAGUGGGGACUUGAAAGUCCGAUGUCAUCCUGCUGUCAGUCAAAAGCCAAGAGGUGGACCUGGGCAGGACUCUCUGGAAACUUUCUGGGAGCCCCAAUAAAACUGGACAGCAGGAGAGGCACUUGUCCCUUCUCCUCUCUGAGAGGAUUCACUCUCUCCCUUGAGAGUGUCCCCUCUGCUUCUUCCUGUCCCCAAAGACUCAUGCCUGUUACUCUGAGUGAAACAUCUGAAAAUAUUCUGAAGUGAUACCUAGAAUCGGGGUUUGGAGGGAGGGUGUCUUCUUGCUGCCUCAGUUUCCUGGAAGGCCCCAACACUGUAAAACUGUCAAGUCCCCUCCUGCAUCUGAGUUCUCUCCCUUCUCAUUUAUAUCAAUUCUGUUCCAUUAUUGCCUGUGGAUUUUAAUCUUUGAAUUUGUGAGACAAGAACCCAGAAGUCCAUUGGUGAGGUCCACAGCCUGCACAAAUCCCAUCUGCCAGCUGAAGCAGGAAUCUCGUCUCAUUUGAAAACUCCAGUUUCACGGAUGGCUUGAGAGGGUGUUAGAACACCUUUUGAAAAUGAACCAGCAUUGCCAGCUGGAUCGCAAUACCCUGAAGGGCUGGGACAAAGCCUCUAGGAUACUGUCUACUCUGAUCCAGUGUCUAAUGUGUAUUGCUGUUUCUACCAUAGCCAGGAUUCCCAAGUCCUGAAAUCAAGGGAUGGAAUGGGAGUGGCACCACUCACUAUUAACCUUAGUCAUCCACCAGCAGAAUGUUUGCUUCUUGUCCCCAGGACAGCUCUCUGCUGUUCCAGAGGUCUUAGUUCCAAAGGGGGCAAUAUACCCUCCAGGAGACUCAGCAAUUGAAUUGUAAGGUAAGAUGGCCACCAGCUACUUUGGACUCUUCAGGCCCGUGAAUCAAAGGUGAAGAAGCGAGUUACUACUGCAUUGUCCUGAUAACCCUGGGGACAAUUGGACUGCUACUCUGAAAUGGAGAUAAGUAAGGAUCCCUCUGGCAUAUGGGAGAUCCCUUAGGUCAUCUCAGUAUUAAGUCUGAUAGAAACCACAAUGGAACCAUUCCUGAGUAAUGAAAGCUUUGGUCACACAAGUAAAAGGCUACCUGGGAUCAUUGUCACAGAUGAAGUGCUUGCCAAGGGUAAAGGGAACAUGGAAGGGGUGGUCGAAAGUAGUUUAAAAUACCAGUUAAUGUUCCUGUAUGACCCGUUAUAGAAUUGAGGAUUAUAAUCAACAUGAGUAUACUUCCUUGUUUUGUGAUGAAUGCUUAUAUGUCUAUAAAAUAUAUAAUACAUGAAUAGCGGAAACUAUAUUGUGAUUGUUAAUUUCUCGUGUCACCUUGACAUGACAUGCCCAGAUAUUUAGUCAAAUAUCAUCAUGGGUGGUUUUGUGAGGGCAUAUGGGGACGAGGUUGCCAUUUAAAUUGGUAGCCUGAGUAAAGCAGAUUGCUCUCCCAAAAGGUGAGUGGGCUUCAUCCAAUCAGUGAAGGCCUGCAUUGAACAACAAACCUGACCCUCCACUGAGUAGGAGAGAUUCUUCUUGUCGGACUGCCUCUGAAUUGGAAUAUGGGAGUUUUUUUCUGCCUUCAGACUUCAAAUGAAAUAUCAGCUCUAAUUGGGUCUUGAGCCUUUUGAACUUUGGAUGAGGAAUAGACCAUUGGCUCUCCUGGACUUCAGGCCUUCUGCCUUGGAUUGGCAUUAAACCAUCAGCUCUUCAGGUUUCCAGCUUGCCACAUCCCUCUACAGAUAUUGGGGCUCUCCAACUUCCAUAGUUGCAUGAACAUAUUCCAUAAAACAAAUAAAUAAAGAGAAACACA